rnacentral:rRNA from 1 species
AGCAGCCGCGGUAAUUCCAGCUCCAAUAGCGUAUAUUAAAGUUGUUGCAGUUAAAAAGCUCGUAGUUGAAUUUCGGAAUCUGUCCGUUGGUCGGGCUUAACUGUCCGUACUGAUGUGAUGGGUUCUUACCUUCUGAAUAACCAGCAUGCCAUUAAUUUAGUGUGUUGGGGAAGCAGGACUAUUACCUUGAAAAAAUUAGAGUGUUCAAAGCAGGCUAGUGCCUGAAUACAUUAGCAUGGAAUAAUAAAAUAGGACGGCAUGGUUCUAUUUUGUUGGUUUCUAGGAUCACCGUAAUGAUUAAUAGGGAUAGUUGGGGGCAUUAGUAUUCAAUUGUCAGAGGUGAAAUUCUUGGAUUUAUUGAAGACUAACUACUGCGGAAGCAUUUGCCAAGGAUGUUUUCAUUAAUCAAGAACGAAAGUUAGGGGAUCGAAGACGAUCAGAUACCGUCGUAGUCUUAACCAUAAACUAUGCCGACUAGGGAUCGGAUGAUGUUAAUUUUUAAUGACUCAUUC